AGAGGAAUCAAGUGAGAGCUUUGGAAAUAAAAAAAAAAGAGUUAGGGAGAAAUUUUUAGUUGCAAGAAGAGUAGAAGUUCUGAAGGGUUUCGGGGAAACAGAUUCGGAGCAGGAAAUUAAGUCUGGAAUAGAGGUGUUAUUACAGAUGCGAUGGCUGACGCUUUUGAACAUGCAUAAAGGUCGAAAGAGAGAUGGGAUAGAAGACUUGGGAUUGUGAUUUUAGUGUUUUAAAAAUUUAUUUCGAUCCUGACUAUGUGGACAUUUUAUUUUCGAAAGAAUCGAUUGUAAUAAAUAAUGUACUAUUUUCUGUCUA